CUGAAGUUCAGUUCACUUAUUUACUCUAUGUAACAUUUAAGUCUUGAAACCGAGUUAAAGUUACUUAAAUUUAUCUGAAAUUAAAUUUACUUAAAAAAACAAUUGCAGAAAGUAAAUACAAAAAUAAAAAACACUGAAUGAAGGCGUGUCCAAGCUUUUGACUUGUACUGUAAAUACACUACAUACAGUGUUAUGUAAAUACAUUAAAUCAUUGCCUUAACUAUAUAUGUACUGUAUAUGUGUUUCUGUAUCUCUAUGCCCACCUCUAAGUGCACCUGAAGAGAUACAGGAUGAAGGUGAUAAAACAGCAGACAAGAAUGAUGAGAACGAAGCUUCCAGUCUUUCAGACUCAAACACAGAGAAACCCACACAGGUAAACCCUGCAGAUGAGGAUGAGAAAGGUUAGUAGUGUAAUAUACUGUACAUUUAGAUCUCUUCUUCUUUUCUCUGUAAUUUUAUUAUCAUACUGUAUUUUAUAUUUUGUUGGUGCACUUAUUACAAAUUUAGAAAGUGGCGAAACAGUCAACACUGAAGUCAUUCUACAGAAUGGACAGCUGGAAAGAUCAGUGCUUGAAGUGAUGGAGAUCCAGGUAGAGAGAGACCCCAAAACUGGUGCCACCAACAUUAAAUCCAUGGCUCCAGUAGCAGAACCAGUACCAGCAGCAGCAGCAGCACUGGACGCUACUGGAGAAGCUGUGUUUGAUGAUGGAAGGGGGACGGUACAGCCUGUGGGAGCCACUGAUGUCAUUGGACAGUUGGACAUGCAGACUGGACCGGAUGGUGAUGUGAGAAUCGUCUGUGAUAAAGAACUUGGAGAUCCAGAGGUUGAAACUGGAGAUCCAGAGGUUGAAACCGGAGAUCCAGAGGUUGAAACCGGAGAUCCAGAGGUUGAAACCGGAGAUCCAGAGGUUGAAACUGGAGAUCCAGAGGUUGUUGAACAUUCUACAGAAGAUCUACAGAAGACCACUGACUCAACACACAAUUCAAUACAGCAAGUCAAGACACCAGAGAAGGAAGAUGAACCAGAGGAAGUUCAAAGGAAUGACAUGGAUGUUAGUGAGGCUAAAGUGCAGCAGAAGGAGGAGGGUGAUGAAGAAUGGGAGAUGGUGAACUGUAGGCCAGAAGAAGGCCUGGACCCUGUGGUGCUGAGCUUUUUAGGCUUCACCCAAGUUCAGGCUGAAGAUCAAGGAGCCGUUCUGAAGGUGGAACAGGUGCUUAUUGGUGGAGAAGAAGUUCCAGAGAUGAGUCUGUCUGAGAAUCUGAGCCCUAUUAUGGUUGAAAACGUCAAACCUGGUAACGAAGAGUCUCUGAAAAGCACAAGAAAUGAAGAGUCACAGCUUAACACAGUUGAGUCCAGUGAGUCUUGCCCAGAAGAAAGCUUUCCUGAGGAAACAUCACAGGACGUUAUGUUGGAGACAGGAGGAGAAGGUAAACGAACAUUUUCUAAACAGUAUUUGGGUGGUGGGUGAGUUUUUAAACACUGUGUUUAAUCACACACUGUAUUAGACUCUAUUAGACACUCCUACCUACUACAGCUAAUCCACCUGUAGAUAAAGUCUGAUAAGUCAGAAACAGAAGCUCUGAAGAUCUGUUGCUGCACAGUUUACCGUGUUGCUCAUCCUUUAGUUCUUCAUCAGUGCUCACUGGUCGUUGCUUGGUGAAUAUUUCUGAUUGGUGGACUAUUCCCAGUCCAGCAGUGACACUGAGGUGUUUAAAAACUCCAGCAGCACUGCUGCUGCAUCUGAUCCACUCACUGUACCACCAGCUCAACACACACUAACACCUCAUACACCACCAUACACCAUGCUAAUCAGUGCUAAUCACUGCAGUGCUGAGAAUAAUCCACAGUGAAAAAGAGUAGAUUAAAGUAUACUAAGCAUUAUUAUGCUAUAGUGCACUAAAGUGUUCUUGUAGCCACUUUAUUAUUAAUCAGUAUAUUUAAAGAGUGAUAAAA
rnacentral:lncRNA from 1 species